GGCUGUAAGAAGGAAGGGGACAGACUCUUUAGCAGUGUCUGUUGUGAUAGGACAAGGGGAAAUGGUUUCAAACUAAAAGAGGGGAGAUUUAGACUGGAUAUAAGAAGUUUUUUGCAAUAAGAGUGGUGAGGCACUGGCACAGGUUGCCCAGAGAGGUGGUGGGUGCCCCACCCCUGGAGACGUUCAAGGUCAGGUUGGAUGGGGCUCUGAGCACCUGAUGGAGCUGUAGGUGUCCCUGUGCAUUGCAGAGACCAGAUGGAUCUUAGGGGUCCUUUCCAACCCAAACGAUUCUAUGAUUCCAUUAUUUUAAUAUCCACCUCCACAACUGCGAUAUAGGUCUUUGUUACUUUUAAUGGCCCAGUUGACUAAUGUGCACAGUGCUCGACAAAUCUCUAACAUGCCUUUUCUUGCAGCCUACUGCACAUACAGACAUUGCAGCUUAGAGGAACAGUGGUUUGUAAUUUAAUGCAUCCUUUUUCACAUGCAUCAAGCCCUGUGGUGCAAUUAGAUGUUCUCUUUUGCAAAAGCAGUAAUUAAUGCUUCUUCAGUAGCCUGGGAGUUGGGAUCUGGGCAGGGCAUGUGAGGUGAGCUAUAGACAGGUUGCAUUGGGCUGGAUGGCUAUCAGCAGCUCAUCUCCUGAAACAACAGCAGCCAAGAGAGCGGCACAGCAGGUCAGCUGGAAAGACCGUUUCUUCUUGUUUUUCCACCCCUGCCUUACCAAACCUUUUUAUUGAUUUCCCUGCAGAUAGGGAACAAAACACUACACCUACAUGGUCUCUCACAGAGGCCCGUGCUUCAUUCCAUGUUUCCAAAUUCCACACUCAUCCAGACUCCUGUAGCAGAACAGCUUUCCUUGUGCAUAAUCUGCCCAUCUCCAGGGCCAUUCUUCCAGCUGUGUUGGUGAUUGCCACAGAAACCCACCAGGAGUCUGAUCAAAUUUCAAAGCAGAAGCUGCGGUGAUGUCAAGACCCUGAAGCCCAGGCAAGUGAGAAGCAAACCCAUGGGGAAACCAGGGAAGAUGUGGUGAAUUCUGCGUGGGUGGUUUGAAGAGAGGGGAACCCCACCGUCCGCAUGUAGAGAAGUGGGACAUGGACAAUGCCUAGUGCACAGCUGCUCUCCGUCACUUGGGGUGAAUACUGGAAGAGGGGCUGCCAUUGAGACAACCUGAACAGUGUGAGA
rnacentral:lncRNA from 1 species